rfam:Oerskovia sp. Root918 contig_1, whole genome shotgun sequence.
CCGUCCCCGGUUCACGGCUGCUGUCCAGGCAGGCGACCCGGGGGC